GAAUCUUGGGCAAUGGGCGCAAGCCUGACCCAGCAACUCCGCGUGAGGGAUGAAGGCCUUCGGGUCGUAAACCUCUGUCGGGAGGGAAGAAACGCCGCGAGGCGAACAGUCCCGCGGUUUGACGGUACCCCCAAAGGAAGCGCCGGCCAACCCUGUGCCAGCAGCCGCGGUAAUACAGAGGGCGCAAGCGUUGUUCGGAAUCAUUGGGCGUAAAGCGGGUGUAGGCGGCUUGGCAAGUCGGGUGUGAAAUCCCUGGGCUCAACCCAGGAACUGCACUCGAAACUGCCUCGCUAGAGUCCCGGAGAGGGUGGCGGAAUUCCCGGUGUAGAGGUGAAAUUCGUAGAUAUCGGGAGGAACACCAGUGGCGAAGGCGGCCACCUGGACGGUGACUGACGCUCAGACCCGAAAGCGUGGGUAGCAAACAGG
rnacentral:rRNA from 1 species